GGUCUUUGGAGAGAGGGGAGGUGAUGGAUGUAGGGGUUUGAAGGAAACAGGGAAAGUUAUGGGUUCUCCCUGGGUUUCAGUAUUGGUGUUUUGUUUUGAAAACCCAGAUAUUUUCACCCUCCAGAGAGCUGCUGCUUUUAGGAAACGCCUUGUUUUCAUCCAGAUGUCUCUAAUAACAAGACUACAGGCACGUCGGCACUGCUGCAUUCCAGUCUACCCCCAACACAUUCCUCCCUGCGAGUCCUGUCCCCUCCCCGCUGCUGAUGGACAUUAAUGACCUCCCUCGGUAAUUAACACAUUGGGCACCGCUGUCAGCAUGAGAUGAGUCCCCAGUGCUGGACAAGCACAUUCUGUAUGUGCAGGGUGGGAUCAGUCCCGACUGCCCCUCCAUGCCAGUGUGCCCCUUUGCACCUGAGCUGCACCUGAGCUGCACCUGAGCUGCACCUGAGCUGCGCCCGAGCUGCCCCUGAACUGCCCCUGAGCUGCACCUGAGCUGCGCCUGAGCUGCGCCCGCCCCCUUUGCCCGCUGAGUGCAGGGCAGUGGGGGCACACGGAGCCUGUGGCUGCACCAUUCCUGCUGUUCCCCGUGGGAACACCUGAACUCGCACAUGCCAUGUGGGGCUCCUCACUGCUCCUCCAGGCACGCAAAGCUGUGUGGAGAAACACCCGUAAUCCUUGUUUCAGCAUCAUGAGGAAGUGCCGGUAGCAGAUAUGAAUUAUCCCUCUCCCAUAAAGACAAACACCUACAAGUAGUCUCUAUACUGUUGUAGGAUCAGGGAGACUGAGGCAGAGCAAAUGAGUGCUCCAAUCCCUGCAGCUCCUGCCCCAAGCUCAUCUCCCUGCCAUUGGGUCCAAUCACUGUCUGCAGUGCACCAGAGCUCCCUGAGCCUGCAAAUCCCACACCCAUGUGGCUUUUUAGCCAUGGAAACUUCAUCCAAAGGGAGAAAUUCUGUCGUCAAGGUGAAAAGCAUUGCUACUGAAAUGUGAUCAAAGAGAGAGUUAUCAACUUAAGUGUACUCAGGAGUUUCUGUUCCAGACAGAAGUAUCAAUGAGAAACCAAUCUUAUAAGGUAGCUGCUAUUGAUAGGGAAAUAAAAGGAAUACAGUUCUUACCAGACAGACCUAAGUUGCUCCAAAUUGCUGUCAGCUUGAAAUAUCUUGCUGGUAAUUUGUUUCCAAAUUCUUUCUCCCUAAAUUUGAUUUGUUGCUGUACAGUGGAUGAUCUAUUCUGCACAGCACCUCAAAGAGCAUUCCCGUUGUCCUCUCCCUGAUUGUUUGUGAGCUAUCACUUCUGGGAGUUGGCAGCCUUUAUUAUAAAAAGGGACAUCAUUGCUUGAAAAGCAGACUUUUGUCUGAGGCUGCCCUUACAAAUAGCAGCUGAGAUUACUGGGAGGAAAGUCAUCAAGGAAAAGACACUUUUCCUCCCCACUUUGGGCUUGUCCACAUGGACAAGCGGCCACUCUGUGUCUGUACCCUGGGGCAGGGGAAGGAUGGGGCAGCAUUUUCUAACAGGAUGUGAAUAAAUCUUUUCACCAGGAUCCCUUUUAACCAGGAUUAAAUCUCACCUCCUGUGGUACUGUAGCAAGCAGGAACAUCACACCCAGCAACUUUUUUCUGCUGAUCUCUGUUCUUUCUUAUGUGAGGGAGGAAGAGAGAACUCUGACUUAUGAAGUAUCCUGCUGGGUUCAGUGAUGUCUCCUACACGGUGUGUCCGGGGCUUUCCCAGGCCUCUGAGCAAUCGCCCUCAGCUCUCCAGAGGAUUUAUUUCUGCACACUUGACACAGAGGCAGAAAUGUGAAACUCCACCUCACCUCUCCAUCAGGAUGCGUCCAGCCUGUCUGUGGGUGACAAUGAGGAGAGCAGUAGCCUUGCCCUGGCUUUCUCUUUCAAGAAUAUAAAUGUGUCUUCUCCUGUCCUUUCUCUGCUUAACCCUCUCUGUCCAAUGGUUUAAGCAAAUUCUAGUCUGGGGACGAGAAGCUGCCUUAGCUUAUUUACACGGUUUUAAGGUGUGGGCAGAACAGGGAGACUUGGCAUCCCAGAAAUAAAGGCCUUUACUCAUCUUGUGUAUAUGGCCACAUUAGAUAAAAAGAAAUAAGGUAUUUCUGGGAAUGUAUGGGCAAUUAUAGCAUAUUUCUGCUCUCCAGAAGUACCCAUAUUGACAUUGCUGUGGGUAGGGCACUGCAGGCACCAUGUCAGGCACUUCAGCUCACCCCAAGAGCUUGUGCUGCACAUUGGACAGGUCUUGGUGCUAUGCAGAGAAUGGAGAGAACAGGAGAGUUGGGAGCUGGUGGAAGGAUUUCACUCUACCCACGCAGGCACUGGAAAAUUAAUAAUUGUUGCACAUGCUCGAGAGCAGCACAAAACACAGUGCUAAUUCAGCUGGCUGUAAUUUUGCCACACAGUUUACUCUGACAUCACAUCAGGGAGAGCUCCACUUAAGCAAUUGUAACAUCACUGAAAGGAUGGAAUUAAGAAAAAAGGAGAAGGAACAUAAACCUCCCACUAUUGUUAUUUUCAGAAAGCAAUAACAGGAAGAGCCAGUUAAAAGGCCUUGAGGCUCUGAGCUGUUAUUCCUCCCUGGAAACCAGCCACGUAAUACACAGGAAAACCCUGGAUUGUGUGUGGGGGCUGCUCUGUGCCCACCACAGGGAUGUGGGCCCAUUCCUGGGGCACAUGAGCACAUUCCCAUGGGCAGGGCCCCCCUCCCCACCCCACCUGUGGCCACCCUGGGCAUUUUGUCUGCUGUGGGAUACCCUGGGCAGCCAAUCCUCCAGCUGCUCCAGAGAAGCUUCUCCCAGGUGCCACUGGCAGGGCUGGAACACCUCUGUCUCCCCACACACAGGUAUUGCAGCAGGGCUGCUCAGGAACCAGCAAUUUUUCCUCUUUGCAGGAGCAGGCUGAGCCUUUCUGAGGUGACCGAAUGCAGGUGUCAAGCAGGCAGGAGCAGCAGAAAUCAAUCUCUCACUGCUUAAAAAUAUAUCUGUAUACCAGAUCUGAACCCUUUCCUCCAGAGUCUUGUGGCAGAAAUGGAGUUUUAAAAUGCUCAAUUAUUUAUAGCUGAAAUGCUGGGGAAAAAAAAUAACCUCAUUUGUCGUGCUGGAGCAGAACGUGCUGGUCCCCAUCACCCACUGCUUGCACAAUGCCUGAGAGUCAUGAGAUCUGGGCAGGGGGAUGAGGAACAAGGAGCAAGGAGUGCCUGAAAGCAAGGUGCCAGCGCCCCAAAGAAGAGCCAGUUCACUCAGACAUGGUCAAACCCAAAUCACGACAAGUCUGAGGUGUCCCAAGCGCUGCUUUCAAGCCUGGGUGUUAAUUAUCACCAAUUAGGUGGGGUGGGUGGUUCCUUAAGUACAGGCUUCUCCUGGCAAAUGGGGACAGGUUUUGUAGAUAGACCCACAGAUGCUGUGUGGAAGGGGUGCUUUGGAGAAUUAACAGCUUUUUAGGAGGGAACCUGUGGGAGUUCCUCCAGAGGAGGACUGUCUGCCUAAACUUGCUUUUGGUUUUCUUUCACUGUGUCUUGGCAGAGCUGCUGCUUGUCAAGGGCCUGGCAUGGGGAAUGGGCACUGCAGGUCCCUGCCUGGUGAAAGGACACAUCACAAACUGCAGUCACACAUGACAGGAAAAGCAGCAAGAGGAGGGGAAAGGGAAAGCAAAAGUCAGAGACCAGGGGAUGUAAAGACAUCAAGUGUCACAUGGCUUCUGGACGGGGAAUUUGAAGAAUUUUCCAUGGCUUUAGAGCAGAAUAGAAUCAUUACAGCUCUGUAGAGCCUUUCUCCCUUACUGAGUUCCUCACUGGUGCCCAAUGCUCAUAGAAAGGCAGGAGUAUGGGGACAAUGAAUUGGAGAGAUGGUUUGGAGCCCAAUUAAGUACCUUCAUUUGUGUGAUUUUAUCCAGAAGGUGAGAACCACCACCCCUUCUCCCUGCUCCCUCCUGGGGAACAGACUUCAUUUUCCCUGUCCUGGAGAACAUGGGCAUUAGGAGGGCUCUGAAAUCCCUCUGCCUUGCACUCAGCUGCUUUGUGGUGCGUUGCACUGAGCAGUGGUUAAAAACCUCAGGGAUGAUGAGGAAAGUGCCUGUAACCAUGGCAAUGCUCUGCAGCCACAUUCUCCCCCCCUGCAGCCCUGCCCAGAGGACCUGGAGCCACCCCUUGUCCUGUAGCAAGCAGGAACGGGUCCCACCACCUGCAUCACCUCUCCCUGAGUUACAGAUGAGCAACGAGAUGGUUGGCUCUCACAAUCAAGGGGUGAACGUUAUAUGUACGCCAAGAGAAGUUUUGUAGAUGUAUAGUUGUGUUACUGUAAUGUGUCCUCCCCCUUGCAUUAUUAUGGGAUGGCCUUGGUACUCGGGGCAUUUGGGAGGGUUGGCUUGUUACUAUGGUAACACCUGACCUCCGACCAAGGUGUGAGAAAGUGAUCUCCACCACUGGGCAGCAAGGAAGGAGUCACUGACAAGACUUUAGGAGGGGCUAGAGGUAUAAAAGGGGGAGCAUCCAUUUUUAAUAAAAUUUUAAAAAGUGAGCAGUUGUUUCACAGGGGUUAAGGACAAAGGUGCCCUAAGAGGAUCUUCAUGAAAGGACAUUUUGUUUGAGCUUUGAGACAAGACUUGGCCUGUCCCUGGGAGCAUCACCUGUCUCUGAAGACUUUGUUCCUUCUCACAUGCAGGAGAUUUUGGGCCACAUCAUGCAGUGAAACCAGUAAAAGUUACAGCAUUUGACUGCUGAGGAACUGGUGGCUUGGCCUUCAAUUAGGAUAAAGCUGUUUAAUUCCUUCCCACCUCAGUGCUACCUUCCUGCACAGCCCCGUUAGUGAGGCUGGCAUACAGAAUGUUAGGGAUUAAUGAGACAGGUGAUUAAAUACAGUCCUGAUUACAUCCAACCCCGGGAGGAUGGAUGUGGAACUGCCCUGCUGUGAAUUAAGUAAUAAAGUGGGAAAAGGUAGAAAACAUAGCAGGGCAGUGGUUCUAUUUCAUUAACCCCCUCAUGCCUGCCAGUGCUGGCACCUCUGCCCAGUGCAGGUGUGAUUGCAAUGUGAUUUUGGGACCCUGGGCACAUCUGGCCCUCAGCCAGAGCCAGGGACAGGUGCUUGUACCAGGACCAGCAACACCGUCAGGAGGGAGAAACAGGAAAAAAGCAGCUGUGCAUGGAACUACUGCCACCUCCUUGUGCUGAUAUUCAGAAUAAAAAUCCCAUCGUUGCCACACUUUCACCCUAGCACCUCCUCUGAGCAGUGUAGCUGAUUCCUGGGGGAUGGUGCAACAGGUACCUUGUGGUGCAGAGCAGCAGCACAUAUUUUUAGGACAGACAGAUUCCAACAGUACCUCCAUGCCUUUGCAGAAGCUAUCCAAAAUCCUGUGGAAGUCUGAAAGUAGGGAGGUUGGGAAGAGCGAUAGUCAAGACCUUCCAGCAAGAGCACUUUAAAUCAAUGGCUCUAAAAGGGCAGUGGCAGCCAGCACCAUUAUCCCCUCCUUACAGACGGGAAAACCAAGGAAAUUAUUUGCCUUGUGUAACCCAGAAGUGUUGGGAAUGCAGCAAGAUCCCAGACCAGGGGAAUCUCAGCUCCUGGGCAUAAGUGAGUCCUCAGAUGUCAGCACCAAAGGCUAUAAAACCUGAGCCCUGCUGGCAGGUGCACUUGGGGAUGUCUCAGUGCUGGCAGGUCUGACAGGCAGUUCAGGCUGCCCAGCCCUAGGCCCUCUGCUUCACUUUUAUCCCUUCCAAGGAUAAAAGCUUCCCGUGAGCACCACUAAGAUCUCUGAGAGCAGAUAACUCCAAGCCAUCCAUCUGCCUGCAGGCACAGAGCGCAGAGCCCCCUCCGGGCAGGGGCUCUGAAAAUUCUGCCUUUGUGCUCUCCCAAACCUCCUGCUGCUGACCACAAAACGGCCGAGUCUUGACUGCACAGCCCCUGGAGUUCAAAUUCCCAUUUUUUGCCUGGCACUGGGGCACUUUACCCACACCCUCCUCCUGCUGCCAGCUCUAACGCAGUUACAGAGGAGCAUUCAGCCCACUCAGGAGCAGAGCAGCCCACUUGUAAACUUAAUAGUACUUGAGGUUUGCUCAGAGUUCAUGCCCCAGGUUGCAGUUAGAUGGAGUGAAGGAGUCCCAAGUGCUUCUGAUGGAUAUAAAAAGGAUAUGCAAUCAGAUGUGCACUUAAGCAAGUAUAUUACCAAGUUAAAUGACUACAGUUUUACUAAGCUAAUUAAAAAUGGAACAAAGUGAUGAUCAGAUUAAGGUCAUAAUUAAUAACUCUAUAGGUUCAAAUUAUCCAGUCACCCAAUAAAUUCUCCAUGUAAUCAGAGAGAGCCACAGCUGAUAACUUGAGGGAAUUCGUGUCCUACUCAGAGGUCUUCAGGAGGCAAGAGCUGCCUUAGGAGCAGUGACCUCAGCUCUGAGGUUAUGUGCUAACCCUGCUGCCCAGCAGACUUUCCCUGAGGCUCCUGUGUCUAUUCCAGGUUGCCUCCUCCAAGGGAAGUGAGUGGACUGAGGAGGGGUCCCCACCUCCUGAGAAAUCAGGGCAGAGUGGUGUCUUGCCAUGGUUUGUCUGGUUUUUAGCAGGGAUGAAGCUUUCUACAGAGCCCAGCAUUUGGUUUGUGCUAUAUUUGCACUUGGUGGUUUAAGACCCUCUCUUUGGGUGCUCUCCAAGCGGUUGAGCUCUGACAUCCUCCACCAGCUGAUGCCAGGCCCUUGGGUACCCAACUGAUGGGGACAGAGAGGCUGCCCAGCGCCUCCCUGAUACUUCCCCAGCUCCUCAUUAGCUCCUGCCAAUGCCCAGCGUGCUGCUCUCUGUGUUGGGAUUUGGAUUCUUUCCAUCCUCAAUGCCCAGGAUUUGGCCAAGUUAAUGUUUUAAGAGGGUUGUUUGUCUUCUUGUUGCUCAGAGCCUGGAAUAGCUGUAAGAGAAGGAGAGUUUGCCAAUUAUAUUAUCCUAUUGUUAAUUAUCUUAAUUAUGAGUAUGCUGCUAGGUGACAUCUCCCCUGGAGUCUUGUGCUGCAGCGUUCAGGUCCUGAAUCCCUGGGGUCUGCACAUGGAGACCCAUCCAGACCCUUUCUGGGGCUCACAAGCAGUGGGAAAUGAGCCCUGAGAGAUGCAGGGAGAGCUGCAUCACCCAAAAGACUUCCCAAAGCAGAGGGAAAGCUGCGAGAUGGGGAUGCUGAGGGUGCUGGGGACACCUUUGUGCCAGGACUCCCUGAAGCUGAGACUGGGGAUACAUGCAGCACCCCAGUGGAUUUCUGAUGGAUUCAGGGGAAAUUGGAAAGGUCCCCUCUGGUUCUCCUCCACCCACAGCCCUGGGGCAGCUCUGGCUGGUUCCCUUCCCUCCCAGACUGUUUCAUAGCCUGAAGCUGCUGUUUACAAAAAGCAAAUGUUUUACCGUUGGCUAAUCCGCCUUGUUUGCAAAAGCCCUGAAGGCUCAUUUUAAUUGCAAGUAAAUGAUUCUUAAUGAUAUAAAUCAGAGCCAGGGAGUGUUUGUGAUAUCUUGCACUGUAACCAGGAGUCAAGAAAAGAAUUAGUCUCAAAUUGAAAAGGGGAAGGUUUCCAUCUGAAAUUGGGCAAAUAUGAGGCUUCAUCAAGGAAAGAUAAUCACUUGGCGGGAUAAUAAUGAGGCUUCAGCUUAUCAGUUUUGCAUGGAGAAUCCUUAAUACGCCUGUAGUGUGGUUUGCUGCCAUGAGCAGUGUGAGAGACGGCUCAAUAAGAAAGGUAAUGGAGAGAGAAGAGCUGUGGCAGCCCUCAGCUAUUCCCCAGCCCAGAGGCUCAGGCCCACCUGGCUUCAAAAAAAAAAAAUCAGGAAAAUGGAAGCAGAUCACACAGGUGACAAAGUGUCUGGCUGAGCAGCAAGGCUCUGCUUUGGUGGGUGCCCCUCUUGCUCUGCCAGCAUGGCCCCAAACAGGGCUCCCAGCUCGCUCUCUACCAGGAUCCUACCCGAGCUCCUGGGACCAGCAGGAGUUUUUCUGUUGGUCUCACUUCCAGCUGGAUUAGCCCCAGACUGUGGAUGUACAAAAGUGUGGGGACACGAGGUAGUUGAGGUCUGGCAGGUUUGGGGGUGCUCUCCCCAUCCCACUCCUCUCCGGGAGGUUCCCCAGGGGUGAGGGAUGGGCUCAGACUUGCAGACACUGGGCAUCCCUUUCUCUCCCUCUGCCAGUGAGGACCCUCAGCCAGGACAGCAUGGGAGAGCUCUUUGGGAAGCAGCUGGCACAGCUGGGAUGUUCCUAAGUCAAUGGGGGUCCCCCAAAGGGACAGGGAUCCCCAAGGCCAUCCUGGCCUAGAGACCAGGUGGGAAGCAGGACCAGCAGGAUCUGCAGUGGGAGAGUUGUCACAGCAGAGCUGCUGGACCUGCUGGCCAAAGGGCUCUUGUGUCCUGCCUGCUGUGCCCAAAUGGCAGCCAGUAAUGUGUGUACAAUUAGCAGUGGGCUGUAAUUGCUGUCUGUAACCUCUUGGGCUGUCGGGAGGAUAAACCCAGCUCAGAGAGCCCGGCGCUGGGCCAGGCUCUGGCUUUGCAGCCAGCAAGGCUGUGCCAGAGCCGAGCUGUGCCCUGACCCCCUGCUCAGAGCCCAGCACAAACACAGCUCCCCCGGAGCAUCCCCCGGGCUGGGACAGGGGCUGACCCCAGAGAAGGGGCAGAGGCCGGGGCAGGGCUGGGGAGUGGGUGCAGCUGCUGCUGAGCAAAGCUCUGGGUUCAUUACCAACCUUUUCAAAACCAGAGCUUAAAAAUAUCCCCCGCUCGCAGGGGCUGGCUCAGCUGCACGGCUGGUCCUCAUCUCCCUCUCGGGAUAUAAAUAGGCAGCAGUGAAUAGCAGCGCUGGCCCAGCGCUUUUCACGCUGCUGCACAGGAGGGGACGGUGGCACCAGCUCCGUGGGUGGCUGGGGACAUUGGCUGAGCAGCCUGGCCACGUCCCACCGAGCUGGGCUGAGGCUUCAGGUGUCACAACAGGAGCUGCUUCCAGCUCAAAGCAAAUGCAACCAGGAGAGCAGCCAGCAAAAGAGGGGUGCAGUUUUGGGAUGGGGAUGAAGGAGGAGAACUGUCCCAGCUGGCUGGGAUCUGCAAACCCCUCCUGGCCCCCCUGGGAUGUACCCUGGGGACGGUGCUGGCAAUGGGAGCUGCUUCUGGACAAGCUUGGCUUUUCUUUCACAAGGUCAAAGUCUUUUAGGGGAAAUGGGUGAUUUUGUGAUAAAUUUUGUGGCAAAAUUAUAAAUUUACCAUUU